CCUACGGGAGGCAGCAGUGAGGAAUAUUGGUCAAUGGACGCAAGUCUGAACCAGCCAUGCCGCGUGCAGGAAGACGGCUCUAUGAGUUGUAAACUGCUUUUGUACGAGGGUAAACGCAGAUACGCGUAUCUGUCUGAAAGUAUCGUACGAAUAAGGAUCGGCUAACUCCGUGCCAGCAGCCGCGGUAAUACGGAGGAUUCAAGCGUUAUCCGGAUUUAUUGGGUUUAAAGGGUGCGAAGGCGGUCGGAUAGGUUAGGGGUGAAGUCCCGAGGCUCAACUUCGGAAUUGCCUCUGAUACUGGUCGGCUAGAGAGUAGUUGCGUUAGGCGGAAUGUAUGGUGUAGCGGUGAAAUGCUUAGAGAUCAUACAGCACACCGGUUGCGAAGGCAGCUUACCACGCUACUUCUGACGUUGAGGCACG
rnacentral:rRNA from 1 species